GCCUGCGUGGCGCAAUGGUAGCGCGUAGCUUUCAUAGUGAUCAAGCAUUCGGUAGGCUGAAGUUGCGGAUCCGAGUCCGUCGUCGGUU